rnacentral:rRNA from 1 species
UACAGGGGGUGCAAACGUUGCUCGGAAUUAUUGGGCGUAAAGGGCUCGUAGGCGGUUUGUCGCGUCGGGAGUGAAAACCUUGGGCUUAACUCAGGGCUUGCUUUCGAUACGGGCAGACUAGAGGUAUGCAGGGGAGAACGGAAUUCCUGGUGUAGCGGUGAAAUGCGCAGAUAUCAGGAGGAACACCGGUGGCGAAGGCGGUUCUCUGGGCAUGAUCUGACGCUGAGGAGCGAAAGUGCGGGGAGCGAACAGG